GGCCCGGUAGCUCAGUUGGUAGUAGCAGUGGACUGAAAAUCCACGUGUCGGCGGUUCAAGUCCGCCCUGGGCCACCA
rnacentral:tRNA from 1 species